rnacentral:lncRNA from 10 species
AGCCUGAACCUUGGAGAACACCUCCCUUUCAUAUGACUUCUGCAAAGGGCGUGUUUCAGCUCACAGGGACAAAGAGUCACUGCACCAGAGAACCAGAAAGAGAUGUUUCAGGAAACUGCCGCAACUUUGUAGAGCACAGUUUGAAAGCUACUGCUGAAGAAAUAUGUCACCUUGAAGGCUUUUUAAACACGGGAUUUGCAAGAUAGGGUUUGCAUUUUAGAAACAUUAUUCUGCUUGCUACACUACUGAGUUUGGAUGAGGGAGACUUGAAGGCAAGGGAGCUCUGUUAUGAAAUAACUACACUUUUCUUAUAGAAGAAGACUAUAAUAGACUGUAUCAAAAAUGUCUACGUUCCAUAGCAUUGGUGGAACCAUGCAUUACGUCUGAGGACAAGGACGGGAACCUUCUGUGGCGUGCUGUCAACAGCUUUAAAUAGGCAUUGAGUUUGAAGAUAGAGCACAUGAAGGGCAUGUUACAGCAGAGCUGAAGGGAGAACAGUUGAUGGGGUUUGGUGAUCAACUGAUUUGGAGAGUAAAGCAAUGAGAAGAAUGACAUUCAUGAUUUGGUAUGAAUUA